rnacentral:rRNA from 1 species
CUCAUUAAAUCAGUUAUAGUUUAUUUGAUGGUCUCUUUUGUUUCUCUUUUUUACCUACUUGGAUAACCGUGGUAAUUCUAGAGCUAAUACAUGCGCAAGGUCCCGAGCGCGGGGGCGGGGCUUCACGGCCUCGUCCUCGCAUGCGCAGAGGGAUGUAUUUAUUAGGUUAAAAACCAGCAGCCGGCAACGGCUUCAACUCCUGGUGAUUCAUAGUAACUCUUUCGGAUCGCAUUCAUG